rnacentral:rRNA from 1 species
AUUGAACGCUGGCGGCAGGCCUAACACAUGCACGUCGAGCGAGCGGCGGAUGGGUGAGUAAUGUAUGGGGACUGCCCGUCAGAGGGGGAUAACUAAUGGAAACGGUAUCUAAUACCGCAUACUAUCGGAUAACCCAUAUGGGAUUAGCUAGUAGGUGAGGUAAUGGCUCACCUAGUCGACGAUCCCUCGCUGGUCUGAGAGGAUGAUCAGCCACACUGGAACUGAGACACGGCCCAGACUCCUACGGAGUCAGCAGUGGGGAAUAUUGCACAAUGGGCGCAAGCCUGAUGCAGCCAUGCCGCGUGUAUGAAGAAGGCCCUAGGGUUGUAAAGUACUUUCAGUUGGGAGGCGUUACCGACAGAAGAAGCACCGGCUAACUCCGUGCCAGCAGCCGCGGUAAUAC